rnacentral:sRNA from 1 species
GAAGUAGAGAAGGUUUGAAAGAACAAUUUUAAAUAUUAAUGCAAAUAAACGGUGGCCAUAUUAUGUUGAAAAGGCUCGAGGGACAAAUCAAGGUACUAGUUAUUUCGUGAGUUCCUCGGGACGUUCAAAACAAGUCACAGGGCAACAGGGAAUUGUAUUCUACGUUGUAUUUUCUAGCAAUACAACAAAUUUAUCUUACGAAUAAGGGAGAACCUAGAAAUCUAGUGUUUCGGGUUUAUUUCGAGCGGAAAGUUUUAGAUGC